rnacentral:lncRNA from 1 species
AUGGAAUCACUCAGGGAGGUGGGGAAGAGCACAGAACAGCUUGAGGGAAGUCCUGGUAGGUCUCCUCCCCAAGCCGCUCUUCAGAAGUGUCUGGAGUUUAAGGGAAUCACACAAAGUUGCCUUGCUGUAACUCCUCCUCAGCUGUCUGUGGCCCAUGAAUCAGGAUAUUUCACCCAGAGGACAGGUGACUGCCUGAGACACUGUUUGUCCCAGGAUUCACCCAGAAGGAAGUGCAUCUUGUCCACACUGCUCCCCUAUAGAACAGAUCCCUCACCCCAAAAUUUCCCCAGCGAGGGGAGAGUCUACUUUCAAUCUCCAUAAAAAGUGAAGUAAGGUGAGGUGUGAUGUGGGAGUAAAAUUUUUUUGGCAAAUGCCUUCAAAUUUAGGACUUUAUUUAUAGACUUCUGCUGCUGCUGCUGCUGCUGCUGCUAAGUCGCUUCAGUCAUGU